UGGGAGGCUGAUACACAACUAGGGCUAAAUCUGCUCUAAUUGUCACAUUGUUCUCCCUAUAGUAAAAUUGCUUUCUGAUGACCGGGACGAAUUGAGGGAAAUCGUAACGGACAGAUACGGAGCACACAAUA
ensembl:scaRNA